CAGUAUUUGUACUACACAUAGGUACUGGUGAAAACGUGUUUAACCAGUGCCUGGUCUAGUGCAAGCACUGC
rnacentral:pre_miRNA from 1 species